rnacentral:rRNA from 1 species
AGUGAACGCUGGCGGUUGGCUUCACCCAUGCAAGUCGAUCGGCGGCACCCUAAGCGCUUGCCCUUACGGGUGGCGAGUGGUGUGCGGGUGCGGAAUGCCUCGGAAUCUUCUUUUUCGUGGGGGAUAACGCCGGGAACCUUACGCUUAUACUGCAUACGACCUCCGGGUGAAACCAGCGUAUCUUCGUCCCUUGCGCGUUUGACUGAGCAGAUGUCGGCUUACCCAGUUGGCGGGGUAAAGGCCCACCAAGGCGACGAUCCGUAGCUGGUCUGAGAGGAUGAUCAGCCACACUGGAACUGAGACACGGUCCAGACUCCUACGGGAGGCAGCAGUGGGGAAUAUUGGACAAUGGGCGCAAGCCUGAUCCAGCCAUACCGCGUGGGUGAAGAAGGCCUUCGGGUUGUAAAGCCCGUUUGUUGGGAAAGAAAAGCAGCAGGUUAAUACCCCGCUGUUCUGACGGUACCCAAAGAAUAAGCACCGGCUAACUUCGUG